UCGGUUCGAGGUUAGUUCCGAGUAAAAUCGACCCAUUUGCUCACCCUACUGGAAUCUCUUCAACACUCUCGAGUCGAGGCCAGGUUGAAACGAACGAACAAAAGUCUGUAUUUGUCGGCGCGAACCCCAAAGUUUUUCGUUCGGAUCGAUAUGUCAGUGGAAUAGGCAACUAUUUCCCGAUCGAAGAAGAAGAAUGAAACAAUUAGAAAGAAGAAAGAUCUUAAUUUAAUCCAAUCAUACUUCAAAAUGUCUGCAGGCCCAAAUCAAGAAUCAUCUCCGUCUUGUGGUGGUAGAGAAGAUGGUCUUUUUGAUAAUUUUCCGGGUUUGGACAUUGAAAAGGACCUGGCUGAGGAUACCUCAGUGACAGAAGAUUCAUGUGGGAAGGAGUUCACAUCAUCUAACAUGGACGUAAAUCUAGAGCCAUAUGUUGGAAAGGAGUUUAAAUCUGAACAGGCAGCCAGGGAAUUCUAUAACGCAUAUGCCAGAUAUAUGGGGUUUAGUAUCCGAAAGGGUGCUAUUUAUCGAUCAGCACGGCAACAAGCUGUUACGUCUCGCAUAUUUGUGUGUUCGAAAGAGGGAUUUAGACCUGAAUCCUCUGAUGUAAAUGAGAAAGGGAAUAUAAAACGCCGGAUGGCAAUCACAAGGGUUGGUUGUAAGGCACAGCUAUGGGUGAAGAGACAACCAUCUGGUAUGUGGGUGGUGAAACAGUUUCAACGGGAACAUAAUCAUGAACUGACUCCGAUGAAAGUGCAUAUCCUUCGGUCCCAUAAGAAUAUAUUUAGGAAUCUUAAAGAAUAUGUUGAAACUCUAAAAGGUGCUGGAGUAGAUGCUAGCCAGAUCCAGAGGUUGCUUCUGGAAGAAGCUCGUGGAAUGGGCAACCUUGGUGCCAGAGAUAAUAAUGCAGAAAGUAGAUGCGUACACUUAUUUGAGGCUAAACAGUGAUACCUUAAAAUGCAUGUAUGGGAGACUGAUUGAUGGGAGAGCAUUGGUGAUGAUACGAGUUUUGGAAGGAUGAUAAAAGGAAAAUCAAGGAGCUCUCAGCUGAACUUAGACGUGAAAGGAGGCGAUCUGCCACAUAUCGAGAACAGCUGCAAAUGGUUUUGAAACAUAUGGAAGACCAUGCUCAUCACCUGUCAAAGCAAAUUGAAGACAUAGUUAACAACAUGAAGGAAGUUGAACAUCAAGGAAGCUAAGCUCUCUCAGCAUACAAUUUUUUGUCAACUUACCGUGAAUAUUUUCCCAGCAUUGCUUUAUGCUGGGACGGAUCAAUUCCUGGGGAUCCCUUUUAUUUUAAAUCAAAACCCUCAUAUCUGGGCUGUAUAUAUUUCAAAAUAUAUAAGGAUGUCCAAGUUUACCAGUGUUUUAUUGCGUCCAAGAAAUAUUUCUUCAUGUAUCUUCAUGUGGUUGUAAAGCGACUGUGCUAGCGGUCUUUUUAGUUUUUAGGAGAGCUCAAGGGAGCACUUGGGGCCUUAGUGAUGGAAAAUAACAUUACAAGGUUAUAGGAGGGAUCAUAGUUGUAGAUGCCUGUCAUUUUCUAUUUCAGGGCUUUUUGUUUUUUAUUUUUUUGGAGCUUCAUGUCCUUGGAGACUUGGCUGUGGAUCACAGGAGGUUGUAUUUGGGGUGGUCUCUUGAAGCCCGUGGAUUAACUUAAAUUGGCUUUAUGUGGAGGAUGGUGAAAGAAAAUUUAUGGCUUUCUGGUAGCAACUAAAGGAAAGAUGGCAUCAAAUCGUUGACGGGGCAUUAGGCACAUACCAGGGACAGGGAUAUAUUGCCAUCUCGUUUCUGUAUUUUUUGAUUUUUGAAGAGUAAACUCAAGUAUCAAAUGAUGUAUAGGCCUGGUUUUGCACUUGAAACCAGACACCCAUUCUAGCGUCUCCUGAUUGUUAACUGAUUAUUCAAUUCAUUUAUUA